GUUCUCUCUCGUCGAGGUUUUUCAGCUUCCACUUGUUCGUGUUCCGGUGAGUUCUUCGACGGUCCCAAAGCAAACAUUGCUUCCUACCGCACUUGAUCUAAUUGAAGGUCAACAGCUCUUUCAGCAAGAGAACAAAUAUCUUAAUUUCUUAGUCUAUUUUUUUAAAUUUCUUCUUCGUCACUUUGGAAUGCUUUUCACCAACGCAUCAAAACUGUACCAGAAUAUAGUACACUGUGUGGGCGUCGAACUAUUCAGCGCGCUCUUUCAGUUAGUCCUUUGAAUUAACUUCCUUCAGUUAUUGAACACCUUAAAACUGACCUCGUGAUACAAUAUUGCAAGGUUUACCAAACUUAAUUUUGGUGUUUGAUUUGAUUUCGACAAUCACUCGUGAUUCAGUUUCUCCGAUGCUUUUUGAUGAGUUUCUGUCUAUGCCUGGCUAAGGUUACAAAUAAAUUGUAAAUAUAAAAUGACAAUAGAUAGUUAUCACUAUUCAGCAUGUUACAAUUUCUUGACCAAAGUAUUGAUUCCAAUCUCGACACUGUAGCAUGAUUGUAUUAGUGUUUUUCUGUUUGCCGGAGAGCCCUCUUGAACGACGGUAGGUCAUUCUUUUUUAAUUUUCCUAAACUGAAUAAUGAGAGGUUUUUGUAAAGCAUUUUCUAGUGCUUCCUUUAGGAAGGAAAUUGAUGUACUUUUCAUUAUUAGGCAUAACCCUACUCCUCGAGAAUUCAUAUCCAAAGCACUAUUGGUGUCAAAUUUAGAGCACUAACGUCAUCUGAUAAGAAUUGGAACCAAUUAAUGUACCACUGUAUUCAGUGAGACCCUAUAUCCUUUAGGCACCUGUCUUAUUGCCUUGUGAACAUAUAAAAAGACGCUAUCUGCCACAGCUCUACACAUAGUUUGCCAGCAAAGCCAACACAGUUCCAGAACAGCACAGAUAUGGCAUCAAACAAGACGAUUCUGAUCAGCCUUGGCGUAGCACUGUUCUUACUCUCUUGCAUGUUAACACCGACCCAUGGAUUGUUUCCUGGAGUUAGCUAUGGCAAAAGGAAUAUGCAUCCAAAUGAAGAGGUCCUGGCAAUCAGACAAAGAAUUUGCCAAGCAACUCAGUUUUUACGGUGUGGUGAAGACCUCUCCGACGCUAUGGAUACCAGGACCUCAGAYCAACGAAGAACAACUAUUCGCAACGCACGACAUUAACUCUUGCAAGACUAAGACUAGCUUGGCUGACAACCACAUAGAUAUUUUUUCAAGAUAAAGAUAAUUGAUGAAGACGUCAUGAAACUACAAAUAUCCAUUUAUCUAUUUGCUAGAAGCCGUGUUAAUACACUUUUUAAAAAAGAUGUACACAGACGUGCCAGAGUGAUGAUCGAAGCAUAUAGAUGUUUGUUUUCUUGAGUGUAUAAAAUAAUGGAUUUGUAUAUCUUGUUAAAGUGUAUUUAUGAUUGUUGCACUAGUUUAAUAUUUGCAUUAAUUGAAUAUUAAAAAAUACAAUCAUCAAAAGAAAAA